UUACAGGAGUAUAAUAAUUACUUUAAACUAUUGACAAAAAGACAAUUUACAAUAUUAUUUUAUUGCAUUUAUCUAUCAAAAUUGUCCCACACAAUUUUGA